UGGGGAAUAUUGCACAAUGGAGGGAACUCUGAUGCAGCGACGCCGCGUGAACGAAGAAGGCUUUCGAGUCGUAAAGUUCUGUUGCAGGGGAAGAUAAUGACGGUACCCUGUGAGGAAGCCCCGGCUAACUACGUGCCAGCAGCCGCGGUAAUACGUAGGGGGCUAGCGUUAUCCGGAUUUACUGGGCGUAAAGGGUGCGUAGGUGGUCCUUCAAGUCGGUGGUUAAAGGCUACGGCUCAACCGUAGUAAGCCGCCGAAACUGGAGGACUUGAGUGCAGGAGAGGAAAGUGGAAUUCCCAGUGUAGCGGUGAAAUGCGUAGAUAUUGGGAGGAACACCAGUAGCGAAGGCGGCUUUCUGGACUGCAACUGACACUGAGGCACGAAAGCGUGGGUAGCAAACAGG
rnacentral:rRNA from 1 species